GGGCGCUUCAUUCAACAGGAUCAGGACAGAGCCUUCUAAGCUCUGAAUGUCGGUUCGAGUCCGGCAGCGCCUUCCA
rnacentral:tRNA from 1 species